ACUCGAGUGGCGAACGGGUGAGUAACACGUGGGUAAUCUGCCCUGCACUUCGGGAUAAGCCUGGGAAACUGGGUCUAAUACCGGAUAGGACCACUUGGCGCAUGCCUUGUGGUGGAAAGCUUUUGCGGUGUGGGAUGGGCCCGCGGCCUAUCAGCUUGUUGGUGGGGUGACGGCCUACCAAGGCGACGACGGGUAGCCGGCCUGAGAGGGUGUCCGGCCACACUGGGACUGAGAUACGGCCCAGACUCCUACGGGAGGCAGCAGUGGGGAAUAUUGCACAAUGGGCGCAAGCCUGAUGCAGCGACGCCGCGUGGGGGAUGACGGCCUUCGGGUUGUAAACCUCUUUCAGCAGGGACGAAGCGCAAGUGACGGUACCUGCAGAAGAAGCACCGGCCAACUACGUGCCAGCAGCCGCGGUAAUACGUAGGGUGCGAGCGUUGUCCGGAAUUACUG
rnacentral:rRNA from 1 species